GCCACGAAGGCUCGCGUUAGCAAGCAAACUGCCGCUGCGGGCAAUGGGCUUAAUCCCAGCUCCCCCCUUCCGCCCCCAGACCUGGGGGGCUGAAACACCAUGCGGGAGGGCGGCAGAGGGAGCGGAUCGGUGCGGAGGGCGCUGGGAGAACGUCCCUGCUCUUAGACGGUGUACAAGGGCGUCUUCAGGAGUCAGCGCUGUGAUGCGUUCCUUCAGGAGAUCCAAGGGAGAGAGAGAGAAUAUACUGGAAAAUCCUGAUAUCAGCGAGGAGGAAAGGAAGGAAGCGUCUGCUGAUUGAAAGCUUGAAGUUGACGGAGGUCCUUUAGGUGCAGGUUGCAAUUUGAGAGAACGGGACUAAGAACGACAGGUACCUAAAUCCCACCAGGCAGGGAGAGAGCCGAGCAGGGGCAGGGCCUACGCUCCAAGUCAGAAGGAGCUGGAGUGGAGGCUCCGCCCAGACAUCCUGGGUUGCAGCUGCCUGUGAGGCGGGAAGGGAGCAGGAGGGUGGCCACGCCCCAGGGCUCAGGUCCAGGGUUAUCAGAGGGUGUUCGAAUGGACGUUGUGAGGCCUUCAGCCUGUUCCUCCACCUGUGACUUACGGCUGGGAUCCAUGGCUUCAAAUUCAUUUGCGGCUGAGUGAUGUGAAUCCUACCUGGGAGAUCCCUUGGUACUGUAACCAUAUCCCUCUGACCUAGGGAGCAGAACGGUUUCUGCUGGAUGAUGGAGGUCAGGUGUGCAAUAAGGGAGCCCAGUGGAGAGCUCGGGAGAAUAAAGGCAAGAGCUGGAAUCUCAGGGCUCCCUGUACCACCCCUGACCGCCGCCUUCCUGCUCUGCCAUUUCACCCUUGACUCGUGAUGGUGAGGAGUAAACCCAGGGAGGUCCAGGACUGUAGGUGGGCACCACAUCUGCACCGGUACAGAAGGGGCUCACCCUGUAACGUGGCCUCCCCUAACUUCUCACCCCACCUCUUGGCCUUUCUGGAUGUUCCCCCCAGGGUACCAAGUGUCACCUGACACCCACUCUGUGUCAUCCUCCCUCCCGACCCAACCUUCCUUUCCCAUGCCCCUCUUUGUGACAACAGCUCCAAAAUGUUCAAAAUCCAGACAAGUCACUUUCCCUCUAUCCUCUCUCCUCCCCUUCUUCACUGAAACUUCCAUGAAAGACCAUCUCUUCUGCCUUUGACACCUCCUGAGUCACCCCUUCAGCACCCACCCGCCUGGACGAGGAAGCCAUUCCUGUCUAAGUGCUCUUUCCUUCACUCUGGUCUCUCCCUAUCUGCUGCUGCCUGCCCACUGAUGUCAACCAUUUCAACCCUCCUGCCCCCCAGCAGCCUCCCAUUAUCCAUCUCAUUAGUCCACAUCUUGGAUCUUUAAUUUCUCAUAUCUGAGACGUCACUGCCCCAUGCACUUCCCCCUUCAAAUGGACUCAUAGCCAUCUUUUUUCCAUCAUUUCCAUCGCAGUCCCCUUACUCCUAGCCCUCAUUCUGCAGGAACCCAGCAACCCCUGGCCUCGAUUUCAGUCCCUCUGCUCUCCCCUACAUUCCUCCACGGCACUAAUCUUGCUUCAGCAUCACUUCACCAGGCCACACCUCUGCUCCAGAAUGCACAGUGGCUCACCACUUCUUACCACAUCAGAUCUAAGCUUCUUUGCCUGUCUGUCAUCAUCUGACCCUACUCCCUCAUUUUCCCACCCCAUCCCUUCCUUUCUCCUGUUCCAAGCCAAGCCUCCUCCACCCUCUCUGUUCUGUAAACUUCCUAUGCUUGGUCCUAAGGCACAGUUUUGCUCAGACUUUUCCUCUUCUGUUCAAUCAAAACCUGUGUGACUUGUUAAGGUCUCUGGGAACUUUCAUGGCCAUUUAUCCACUCCAGUCCCAUGUUCUAUUGAUGUUAGAUCCAGCGUGUUGGGGGCAGCAGAUCAGUUUCUACAGGGGCAAGUUGGGACCAAGAGUCCAGGAAACCCCACGGAGGCAGCUGGACAUUAGGGCCCUAAAUACAGGCCUGUGAGGGAACCCAUCACACCAAGGAUAGUUCUGUGGGGUUGGGUGCAGGAGCUAGUGUCAAGCCUGGGAAGUGAGUCUGUGACAGAAGACUUCAAUCCCCAGAAAGACGCAGGCAUCUGAGUUUGAAAUGCGUUCAGAAGUCAUAGUUUCAGUUCACUCUAGGGAAGGACAGGUGGGAAGAAGAGGAAAUCAGGAGGCUGGUGGCAUAAGGGUGGCAGGGAUGAUUCUGGAAGGCACAACACAAAGUUCUUGGCUUCUCCAUGUGCAUCUUGUGCAUUGGCUUGAGCUCUGUGGUACAGUCUCUAACAAAAUUCUUUCCCUGGCCUUUUGCACCUGUCACUCUGCCACUGACAAGUGGCAUUUAUUUCUCCUUUCCUUACAUCUGGGCUGACCUCGUGACUGCUUUGGUCAACGGACUGUGAUGGCAGGUGGUGUUUUGGGACUUCAGUCCUGAACCUUAAAAAGCUUGGCAACUUCCGCUUCCUUCAUGGAACACGGUCGCCAUGCUGUGAGAAGCCCAAGCCGCAUGGAGGAGAGCCGGGAUACUCAGGCACCAGCCCAGCUUAGCCCCAGUAACAGCCAGCAUCAACCCCCAGCCACGUGAGUUCUCCACUGUGGAUAUCCAGUUCAGAACAGCCCCCACAUCAUCAACUAGGACCCCAGCCAAUAUCACAUGGAGAAGAACCACCCAGCUGAGCCCAAGCAAACCUGCAGAAUUGGAAAGAUGAUGUGAUAGUUGUUUCUAAGGUACUAAGUUUGGGAGUGCUUUUCCUGCCAUAUGUAAGCAAAACAGACUCAGUAAAUUUCUCGGCUUCUCUAAUGAGUACUUUCCUUAGCCAACAUGCAGGACUCCUAAUACACUGAGACUCCAGAAGGCAAGGUGCCUGGAACGCCCUCAGUGACUGGGUUCAUGUUGAUAAUUCUCUUUCCUUCGCGAUGUAGCCCAGAUCAUCUCAUCUAUUUGUUGGUUAUAUUCCACUUAGUGUUUUAUUUUAAAUUAUGUGUAGUAUUUCUAUAAUUAUUUUUAUUGACAAAUCUCAUGUACUCCAAAAACAAGCCCGUGUUUGUAUCUUUUUUCCGCCCCCGUUGCUUAUUGCAAAGUAAACAUGCAACAUACAUUGCUGAAUUGAAAGUUCAUUUCCAAAUACUCCUUCAUGCAGAUAGGAUUGUCUUUCAAAUCUAGCUCAAGUGGCCAAGAGACAAUAUUUGCCUUAAUUCAGUCUUACGUGUAAUAGGUUAAUCAUCGAAUGUUUCCUUAAAAGAUAAAACACAAAACUGCAAAUACGUACUCAAAAUAAUAAAAAUUUGUCAAGAUAAAAGAAAACAGGAGUGGAAGUGGAUAACAGCCAGUGACCUGUGUGUCAGAACUUGGUUCAGAGAGGAAUCAGAGACACGCUGUAAUGCCAGCGUGUUUAUUAAUAAAAGCUUCAGACACUGAAUGUAUUUUUCAGUGCUGUGGUUAUAUCUUUUGCUCGCAUGCCUCAUGGUGGGGUUCAAGUUUGAAAUGAGGCCGUGCACAACACAAAUGAGGCCAUCAGGUUUCCACGGGUCUGUCUGAGGCCAUCGACAUCCCCUGGAGCACAGCCUUUCCCGGAAUCAAUUAUGAAUUAGAGGGUUAUCAUACUGUCGAUAUGGGAGUGUUAGGAUUUUUGACCGGGCAGGAUAAGGACUGAGACAGAAGGAGCAGUAGUCAACUUAAUCUAAAUACUCAGCAGCUGCUUAGGAGAUAGGGGAUAAUCCGGUUCUGCUACAGUAAAAAUCAGCAUACUUUUGAGCUUAUGAAUUACAAGUAGGGAUGGCUGAACCUGCUUGGUCAAAUACCUGCCAAAUCUUUAAGCCCAAACCUAAUGCUUUGCUGGGGACCUUCUCUCCUCCCCAUGAGGAUUAAGGUAUUGCUUCUGAAGGCCCCAAAGUGUUAGAAAAUCAAAGCUAAUAUCUAUCUCAGCAUUUAAGGGGACCUUGGAUUAAAGACAAAUGGAGAUUUAUGCAACAUUAAGGGAACCUCAGACAGAUCCUUGUGCAGCCUGGAAAAAGUGACUGGAGUAUACAGAGGCCCACGCCCGGGGUUCUGUAGCCAGAGAAUUCCACUGAUGGAACGAGGGUCCCAGACAGCGUAAGAGAGGUUGGACCAGGUGGCAGCGGCUCGUGCAGGUCGUGUGUAUGCUGCGGGUCAACAACAAGCUUCUGGAAACCAGCGUUGCCUUCCUGGGUGAGCAGGGUGCUAUAAAGCUCGCUUGAGAUGAUGUAUGAUAGAUCGUGCUGGAAACAAGGUCUGAAACACGGUAAAAAUGUGAGUUUCAGGGAUGAUAUCGACAUUGAGAGGCGUUAACAAAAAGGGACACGUGGAACCAGCUUGCAAAUCAGAUGAAUAAAUGAACGUGUGAUUGACAUCAUGCAAAAAGAAAGAGAAGAGAACUGCCUUCAGGCUAAUCUGCCCUUUUAAACACACAAGGAACAGCGUCUUAGCCAUCUCCUUCCCCACCCAAACCACCUCCUCUGGAAAUAAACACAUUGCCAACGCCAGAGCUGCUGAACGACCAGAAUUACAGGAUGAUCAGCAGCAGGAAAUGAUAUUGCAAAUACAGCUGCGGGCGUGAUGCCGGCCUUGUCCAAUUCCUCUUACAAAACUUCCUCUUACAAAUAUCCUGUCAUAGCUGUGCGGUGACACCAUUCGCCAGAAUAUCUCAUAAGGGACAAAAUAGCGAGCCCCUGGCUCUCAUUAUAAUUAAUUGGCUAUAAUUGAAGCUUUGAACAAUCGGGAUCAUGAUGUAAUUCCAACACAGGCUUCCUUUGAUGAAAUCUUCCCUGGGCUGCAGGAAAUACCUCAGUGGGGAAGGAUGCGUGUACCAGUCACACAAGAUAGACCGAAAUGACCAGUUCUAGUUUCUGCACCCAUCUGCAGACUCUUCUGCUGCAGCCCUGUUCUAAGGAGAACUCAAUUAAAAGCUGAUUUCCAUGAAAAAUAAGCACAAAUCUUUCAAGAAGCACGCAGUACAUUAUCACUCAGGAUGUAAAGCCACGCGUUCAGGAUUGAGGGCUCACUCCCUGCGAUUUCUUCAGAUCUGGUGUUUGGGAUCCUUGGUGACUAUCAACACUGAUUGCUCUUUUUUUUUCCCUCUCCGUUCUUUCCAACCAGAAGUCAGGUUGUGAAAAUAUUCUCACCUUUAUAGGAGCGAGACUGCCUAGGUUUGCAUCCCAGCUUGGCCACUCCGUUGCUGCUUUACUUGCAAGGUGAUCUCACCUCUCUAAGUGGAAGUCUUCAUCCCUAGAAUGGGGACCAUGGAGGUCUCUGAGCUCAAGCUAUCCUUGAACUCUAUGAAGACGUACAAUCCGUGGAUCCGACUGAGCCUUGCCGCCCCUCAACCCCACACUCCUCUCCUUUCCCCUUUCCCCUGUUUAAUUCUGCAACCAGUCAGUGUCACCACUCCCUUGCACAGACCCUCAGCCUCCUUUUCCCUCCUUCUUUUCUCUUGGCAACACCAUAACCCUGGUUCAGUCCAGUGCACCACCAACUUUGUGCUUGCAGCCAGGCCACUGAAUGUGGCUGGACAGGAGCAUAACCACACUAACUGGUCUCCCUUUAAAUCCAUGAUUCUGAGCCUCGAGUGAGUUCCUAAUGCUGCUCAGUUAGCCCAUGCCCUGCCCAGCCCACUCACUCUCCCACGAAGAAAAUGGAAGCAAGCAGGCAAGAAACUACCUGUGUUUAUCCGGUGUUCAUCCACUUUCCUGAAUCCAUGCCCUUCCCUUCUGUGACUGUGAGUGAACCAUCCAUGCUGCAGCUAAGCCAUCUGCUUCACCUGUGCAGGGAGACACGGACGCCAGACCCUCUUAUCUCUGUGGAACUGGCUCCAGCAGUGUUCUCCUUCCUCUGUUCAUCAUCCAUCUCCCCCUUUUUCUGGAUCCUUCCCACCCACACAUGUUCUCUCAGCUCCCAUAUCCACCAAAGCCCCCCCCGACCUCACUUUUCUCUCCAGCCACUGCCCCAUUUCACAAACCCACAUUUUAGCAAAACUCCUUGAACGAGUUGUCAUUAUCUGCCAUCUACAAUACAAUCCCAAUUCUUUCUUAAACCCACUCCAUUUCAGCCCUGGCCUCACCACCUUUCAAGGUUUCCCGUGCCUUUUACAGGCCCUCAGCCCAGCGGUCAGUUCUCAGCCAUCCUCUUAGUUUGCCUACAGCGGCCUUUGACAUGAGGGAGAACUUGCUUCUCUUUGAGAGUCUGUCUUCACUUGGUGUUCCCGUUACUAGUACAGUGUAAUAGAUUAUCUCAAAAUUUAAUAACUGACAACAAUGCACACAAUUAUUUUGCUCAGGAAUCUGCAAACUGGACAGGGCUUGGUGUGGACAAUUGGUUUCUAUUUCACUCCGUAUCAGCUGGGGACCCUCAGCGGCCAAGGGCUGGAAUCGGCUGAGGUUCAUUCUCUCACGUGCCUGGUGCCCGGGCGGGGAAGACACUGAGGGGCUGGUGCACUUGGGGUGCUCGGGAGCCUCUCUGUCUCUGUUUCUCUCUGUCUGUGGUCUCCCCAGCAUCCCCAGUAGGGUAGCCAGUUUCUUUACAUCCUUGGACCUUGUAAGUACCCCAAGAAAGGGGGCCAGGCAAAAACUGUAUCCCCUUGCCUUUUACCAUCGAGCCUUGGGAGUCAGUUUCAUGCCCCACCUCCCAAUAGAGCGGUUCAGCAUCACAUUGUAACGGGAGGUAGUGCCGGGGCCUCUUUAAAAAUGACACUGCACCGCUCUUGGCUCCUAGGGCCCUACAUGCUCCUGGGCUUCCUCCUGUCUCAGCGGUGCUCCUCCUCACCCAGGUCCUCUUGUUCCUCUGCAUCGUCUCCACUCCUUAGACUUGGAGACCCCGGAGCUCUGUGCUUGGAUGUCUUUGUUUUUUUAUUUUCUUCUCUUUCUUGGUGAUCUCGAAGAGUCUCAUGGCUUUCCAUAUUAACUAUAUUCUAACAACUCAAAUUAAAAAUAAAAAUUGUAUUGAAGUGUAGUUGAUUUACAAUGU